UUUUAACUACUUCUUCUGGUCCGCUCUGCACAGCUGUCACCGAAAAACAGAAGCACAAUGAGGGGAGAGUGGGGUCAUGGCACCGGGAGAAUAGGGUAAGGUGGGGCUGCAAGGGUAGGCUAGGACAGGGUUAGUUGGGCUGGUGAGGUAGGCUAGGACAGGGUUAGUUGGGCUGGUGAGGUAGGCUAGGAGGGGUUAAGUUGGGCUGGUGAGGAGGGGGUAAGUUGGGCUGGUAGUGUAGGUGAGGAGGGGGUAAGUUGGGCUGGUAGUGUAGGUGAGGAGGGGUUAAGUUGGGCUGGUGAGGAGGGGGUUAAGUUGGGCUGGUAGGGUAGGUGAGGAGGGGUAAGUUGGGCUGGUGAGAAGGGGGUAAGUUGGGCUGGUGAGGAGGGAAUCAGUUGGGCUGGUAGGGUAGGUGAGGAGGGGGUAAGUUGGGCUGGUGAGGGGGGUAAGUUGGGCUGGUGAGGUAGGUGAGGAGGGGGUAGUUGGGCUGGUGAGGUAGGUGAGGAGGGGGUAGUUGGGCUGGUGAGGAGGGAAUCAGUUGGGCUGGUAGGGUAGGUGAGGAGGGGGUAGUUGGGCUGGUGAGGAGGGAAUCAGUUGGGCUGGUAGGGUAGGUGAGGAGGGGGUAGUUGGGCUGGUGAG
ensembl:lncRNA